GACGAACGCUGGCGGCGUGCCUAACACAUGCAAGUCGAACGAGAUCCAUGGGAGCUUGCUCCCGGAAGAUCUAGUGGCGAACGGGUGAGUAACACGUGAGAAACCUGCCCUGGAGUGGGGAAUAACUCGGGGAAACUCGAGCUAAUACCGCAUACCCUCGGAUGGUCGCAUGGCCGACCGAGGAAAGAUUUAUCGCUCUAGGAGGGUCUCGCGGCCUAUCAGCUAGUUGGUGGGUAACGGCCUACCAAGGCAACGACGGGUAGCUGGUUUGAGAGAACGAUCAGCCACACUGGGACUGAGACACGGCCCAGACUCCUACGGGAGGCAGCAGUGGGGAAUCUUGCGCAAUGGGCGAAAGCCUGACGCAGCAACGCCGCGUGCGGGAUGACGGCCUUCGUGGUUGUAAACCGCUUUCAGCAGGGACGAAAAUAGACGGUACCUGCAGAAGAAGCCCCGGCUAACUACGUGCCAGCAGCCGCGGUAAU
rnacentral:rRNA from 1 species